GCAAGAUAACGCUAGCUACAGGCUUAACACAUGCAAGUCGAGGGGCAGCAUUUUAGUUUGCUUGCAAACUGAAGAUGGCGACCGGCGCACGGGUGAGUAACACGUAUCCAACCUGCCGAUAACUCCGGAAUAGCCUUUCGAAAGAAAGAUUAAUACCGGAUGGCAUACGAAUAUCGCAUGAUAUUUUUAUUAAAGAAUUUCGGUUAUCGAUGGGGAUGCGUUCCAUUAGUUUGUUGGCGGGGUAACGGCCCACCAAGACUACGAUGGAUAGGGGUUCUGAGAGGAAGGUCCCCCACAUUGGAACUGAGACACGGUCCAAACUCCUACGGGAGGCAGCAGUGAGGAAUAUUGGUCAAUGGGCGCGAGCCUGAACCAGCCAAGUAGCGUGAAGGAUGAAGGCUCUAUGGGUCGUAAACUUCUUUUAUAUGGGAAUAAAGUUUUCCACGUGUGGAAUUUUGUAUGUACCAUAUGAAUAAGGAUCGGCUAACUCCGUGCCAGCAGCCGCGGUAAUACGGAGGAUCCGAGCGUUAUCCGGAUUUAUUGGGUUUAAAGGGAGCGUAGGUGGAUUGUUAAGUCAGUUGUGAAAGUUUGCGGCUCAACCGUAAAAUUGCAGUUGAAACUGGCAGUCUUGAGUACAGUAGAGGUGGGCGGAAUUCGUGGUGUAGCGGUGAAAUGCUUAGAUAUCACGAAGAACUCCGAUU
rnacentral:rRNA from 1 species